AGAACGAACGCUGGCGGCAGGCUUAACACAUGCAAGUCGAGCGCCCAGCAAUGGGAGCGGCGGACGGGUGAGUAACACGUGGGAACAUGCCCUUUGGUACGGAACAACUCAGGGAAACUUGAGCUAAUACCGUAUGUGCCGGUAACGGGAAAGAUUUAUCGCCAAAGGAUUGGCCCGCGUCCGAUUAGCUAGUUGGUGAGGUAACGGCCCACCAAGGCUCCGAUCGGUAGCUGGUUUGAGAGAACGACCAGCCACACUGGGACUGAGACACGGCCCAGACUCCUACGGGAGGCAGCAGUGGGGAAUCUUGGACAAUGGGGGAAACCCUGAUCCAGCCAUGCCGCGUGAGUGAUGAAGGCCUUCGGGUUGUAAACUCUUUCGACGGGGACGAUAAUGACGGUACCCGUAGAAGAAGCUCCGGCUAACUUCGCGCCAGCAGCCGC
rnacentral:rRNA from 1 species